AUACUUAUCUGGACUGGGUCAAUGGGUGAUCAAGAAGGUCCAUGACCUAGGUUAGUGACCUCCAUUGCACUUAGGAGAGGGGUGCUCGCCUAAGGUCUCCCCAAAGUGGGAGAGCCUACGUCAUAAUUUGUUAUAGUUGGGCGGCCCCUGUCCAA